CUUUUUCUGCUUCUGCUUCGGAUUUGCGUGUUGGUAAUGGGAAUUGUGUGGUAUUUAGGGAUGAUGCUUUUCGAAAUCAUUGUUCCACAGAAGUUGGGAUGAGUGUUUUUCACUUGGAUCAAUGUGGAAUAUCACCUUUGUCUGUUUUUCCGAGUUAUUCCAAGUUGUUCUGGCCACCUCCGGAAUGGGCCGGGAUGGUUCACAACUAGAAUGUGUCUUGCAUUGAAAGGUUUGUAAUGUAAUUCUAAACAACACCAUAUGAUAUUAUUAUCAUUAUUAUUUUUAUGUUAGUGUACGCAUUUGCUUUGUUUCUGUUGUUAAAUUAGAUAAACUUUUAAACAAGUUACUUGUAGAAAAAGAAAUGCUGAAAUGUUCUUAUAAUAAUGUCUUUAGGCUUUUUGAACUGAAGCUGAUUACUUUUUGUAUAUAAUGAAAUUCUUUUUUGAGGGAAGGGUUUGAGUCAGAGGUAGGUGUUGCAAAGGUAUUAAGAGGAGAUAGAGGUAGUUGUUGCUUAAUAGGCCAUAAGGGAAAAUCAUUGAACUAAAUAUUAUGUUUUUGGCAACAUAACUUCAGUCAAUACCACUAAAUUUUAAAAUAAAUCUCGCUAGGGAUAAAAGUAUUUGUAUCUGUUUAAUAACAUACUAGAAGAAUCUGGCACAAUGGAGAUUUAUUCCAGCAUAAUAUUGUUGAUAAAAUAGAGCCGAAAAAUGUAAUGCUGUCAACCUGAUUUAGGUAUCCGCUGAAAAUGAUAACACUGCAUUUUGAACUGCUGAUGGCCGAUAAUUUCUCAUCAUCCCACCCCCAAUUCCAGAUCAUCCUCAAACCCUACUACAGCCUUGGUUAAUCAAAAUCGGUCCUAACUCACGUGACCAAACUAACCUCUUCCACCCUCUCGCACGUGACACACCUUUCCCUCUUCGUUCCCCUAACGUCAUCGACUUCAACCAACUCAACGUCAUCCAUCUUGGACACGAAUUCGUCAUCGGUAACUUCAUUUCCCAUUCUCCCAAUCACAACUCACUCUACAUGGAAAAACUCGUUCUCUAUCAUGACACGUCGCACACCGAAAAAGUAAAACAUCCUUCUCCCGUUCUCCUCACUAUUCAUGUUUCCGGUAAACUCGCUGUAUUCCGAUGCGGAGACGAGCACUGGAAGAUUAUUCCUGAAAUGCCGGCGCCUUUCGACGAUGUCUGUGUUUUCAAAGGUCGGCCGAUUGCCGUUGAUAAUAUCGGUCGAACUGUUUCGGUCGGACCGGAUUUAAGUUUGGAUUUGGUGGCGGAGGCUGUGUUUGGUGGUGACAUUAAAUUCUUGGUGGAGAGUGAUGGUGAAUUGUUGCUAGUUGAUAAGUAUUUGUCUUGUUUUUGUGGUGAUAGGUUUUUGGAGGAUGAUGACAAUGUUCCACAUGAUGGUAGUGAUGAAUUUUAUCAUGAGAUUGGAAUGGAGAGAGCUGUCAGAUUUGAUGUGUAUAGGCUUCAUGAGGAAGAGAAAAAGUGGGUGGAGGUCACUGAUUUGGGGGAUAGAGUUUUGUUUUUGGGGGAAGAUUGUGCUUUUUCUGCUUCUGCUUCGGAUUUGCGUGUUGGUAAUGGGAAUUGUGUGGUAUUUAGGGAUGAUGCUUUUCGAAAUCAUUGUUCCACAGAAGUUGGGAUGAGUGUUUUUCACUUGGAUCAAUGUGGAAUAUCACCUUUGUCUGUUUUUCCGAGUUAUUCCAAGUUGUUCUGGCCACCUCCGGAAUGGGCCGGGAUGGUUCACAACUAGAAUGUGUCUUGCAUUGAAAGGUU
rnacentral:lncRNA from 1 species